rnacentral:rRNA from 1 species
UACAGAGGGUGCGAGCGUUAAUCGGAAUUACUGGGCGUAAAGCGUGCGUAGACGGUUAUUUAAGUCGGAUGUGAAAGUCCAGGGCUCAACCCUGGAAAGCGGGUGGAUACUGCCGGGCUAGAAUCCGGAAGAGGCGAGUGGAAUUCCUGGUGUAGCGGUGGAAUGCGCAGAUAUCAGGAGGAACACCAAUAGCGAAGGCAGCUCGCUGGGACGGUAUUGACGCUAAGGCGCGAAAGCGUGGGGAGCAAACAGG